rnacentral:rRNA from 1 species
UACGUAGGGGCAAGCGUUGGUCCGGAUUUAUUGGGCGUAAAGAGCGUGUAGGCGGCCAUGUAGGUCCGUUGUGAAAACUCGAGGCUCAACCUCGAGACGCCGAUGGAAACCAUGUGGCUAGAGUCCGGAAGAGGAGAGUGGAAUUCCUGGUGUAGCGGUGAAAUGCGUAGAUAUCGUAAGGAAGACCAGUGGCGAAGGCGGGUCUCUGGACAGUUCCUGACGCUGAGGCACGAAGGCCAGGGAGCAAACGGG